AUGGGAGACAUACCUGCAGUAGUGAAGCCAGCAACACAACCUCCGCGUCCAUCAAGAGCAGAACAGGUUUCAUCUGACACCAAACCUACAGCAUCUGAUAUAGUAGUCGCUCCUUCUGAUGCUCAUUUUCCUUCACCUCCUAAGAUAGUCAUAAGCAGCCGCAACAGGAUUGAUAUGCAGAAAUGGUAA